UGAAACCCCUUGAUCCCUCGUCAAAUUUUGAGGAGAAAGAAAAAGAAGGCGGAGUAAGAAGAAGGAAAGGAGAGGAAGAAAAAGGUAGAAGAGCCUCUCUAGGCUAUACAGAUGGAUCCGCCAUAGUUCAGUGCUAGUGUGUCAUUUGACUUUGAUGUGCUAUCAUGGAACUAAUGGCUUGAUUUGGAAAUUGAGGCUCUAUAUAAAAGGAACAAUUUUAAUCAACAAAGGGCACUUGGCCCAACCGAAACCAAUGAUGUCAAAUUUGAGUCAAAACAAUUUUAAAUUGAAUUCCCAGAUAAAUGAGCCAUAUGUUG
rnacentral:lncRNA from 1 species